UCCCUGGUGGCUCAGACGGUAAAGCGUCUGCCUACAAUGCAGGAGACCCGGGUUCGAUCCCUGGGUUGGAAA
rnacentral:tRNA from 1 species